CCUGCAGAAGAAAAAUAGAGAAAGGGGUGGUAACUGUUUUUCGAAAACCAGCUGGCUACCAUCUGGUUAAAACAAGACAGGACGGCAGUGUUAUUUGUAGGCAUCUGAGUCUGGGAGGAAAGGAGUGAGGCAUGUAACCCAAAAACAAAAGAGCAGAUUGAAAACCUGUUACAGAAUGGGAAGGAUAAAGAGCUGCGGGAUCGUCUCUGUUGCAGGCUGACAUUUGGGACUGCUGGCCUUCGCUCUGCUAUGGGAGCAGGCUUUUGCUACAUUAAUGACCUUACAGUGAUCCAGUCAACACAGAGCAACCAAAUGAUCAAGGAGCUAAAAGGAGUGACUUAUGGGGAGCAGUUACAAGACGUAAAUAUGUAGCUUUGCCCUAAAGACUGUUGAGGGAUCUGAACACUAGCAAGAAAGACUGUCCAAGUUGAUAUAAUUUGGUAUAUAAAGAGAGAUUAGGAAAAAGCUAUGGUGAAUUUCUGAACCAUGAGAUGUCUUAGCUUUUGGAUCAGGCUUCCUUGAAAUGGUUGAGCCUGAAAUGAAGUAUAUGAAGAAAGUACUUUCAGGGAGAUGGACUGGAUAACUACAUACAUCUCAUUCAUCUCUGGCAUUGGUAAUAAAAGUAAGAUUUGUUUUCAGUGUACUGUGUUUUACUGAAUAUUACUGCUUUGAUUCAGAGAUGUUGAUAUGCUGUUUGGGCAUGUACAGAGAUAACUUCACCUACCAUAAAUCCAGCAGCUUGCCUCAAAGUAGUUUUCUGUGAGGGUCCAGCUAUUAUCUCCAAAAAUGUUCUUAGAGCUUUUUUUUAAAAGCAGGCCCCCAAGCC